rnacentral:rRNA from 1 species
AACGAACGCUGGCGGCAUGCCUAACACAUGCAAGUCGAACGAGACCUUCGGGUCUAGUGGCGCACGGGUGCGUAACGCGUGGGAACCUGCCCUUAGGUUCGGAAUAACUCCCCGAAAGGGGUGCUAAUACCGGAUAAUGUCUUCGGACCAAAGAUCUAUCGCUUUUGGAUGGGCCCGCGUUGGAUUAGCUAGUUGGUAGGGUAAAAGCCUACCAACGCGACGAUCCAUAGCUGGUCGGGGACGAUGAUCAGCCACGCUGGGGCUGAGGCACGGCCCAGACUCGUACGGGAGGGAGCAGUAGAGAAUAUUGGACGAGGGACGAUAGCCUAAUCCAGCAGUGCGGCGUAAGUGAUGAAGGCCUUAGGGUUGUAAAGCUCUUUUACCCGGGAUGAUAAUGACAGUACCGGGAGAAUAAGCACCGGCUAACUCCGUG